rnacentral:rRNA from 1 species
AAUGAACGCUGGCGGCAUGCCUAACACAUGCAAGUCGAACGAAGGCUUCGGCCUUAGUGGCGCACGGGUGCGUAACGCGUGGGAAUCUGCCCUCAGGUUCGGAAUAACAGCGAGAAAUUGCUGCUAAUACCGGAUGAUAUCGCGAGAUCAAAGAUUUAUCGCCUGAGGAUGAGCCCGCGUAGGAUUAGCUAGUUGGUGUGGUAAAGGCGCACCAAGGCGACGAUCCUUAGCUGGUCUGAGAGGAUGAUCAGCCACACUGGGACUGAGACACGGCCCAGACUCCUACGGGAGGCAGCAGUGGGGAAUAUUGGACAAUGGGCGAAAGCCUGAUCCAGCAAUGCCGCGUGAGUGAUGAAGGCCUUAGGGUUGUAAAGCUCUUUUACCCGGGAUGAUAACGACAGUACCGGGAGAAUAAGCCCCGGCUAACUCCGUGCCAGCCGCCGCAGUAA